GAUGAACGCUGGCGGCGUGCCUAAUACAUGCAAGUCGAGCGAACGGACGAGAAGCUUGCUUCUCUGAUGUUAGCGGCGGACGGGUGAGUAACACGUGGAUAACCUCCCUAUAAGACUGGGAUAACUUCGGGAAACCGGAGCUUAUACCGGAUAAUAUUUUGAACCGCAUGGUUCAAAAGUGAAAGACGGUCUUGCUGUCACUUAUAGCUGGAUCCGCGCUGCAUUAGCUAGUUGGUAAGGUAACGGCUUACCAAGGCAACGAUGCAUAGCCGACCUCAGAGGCGGAUCGGCCACCCGGGAGCUUAGCCACGGUCCUGACUCCUACGGGACGCAGCAGUAGGGAAUCUUCCGCAAUGGGCGAAAGCCUGGCGGAGCAACGCCGCGUGAGUGAUGAAGGUCUUGCGAUCGUAAAACUCUGUUAUUAGGUAAGAACAGAUGUGUAAGUAACCGUGCACAUCUUGACGGUACCUAAUCAGAAAGCCCCGGCUAACUACGUG
rnacentral:rRNA from 1 species